AGGAUGGUGUUAAUACAGGGAGCAUAGAAACAUUUGCACCUGCAGGGGGAUAAAAAAGGAGAGUAGAAUUUAAGAAUAUACAUUUCUGAGAACAAAAGGCAGACUUGCACAGUGAAUCAAGCAAUUCAC